rnacentral:rRNA from 1 species
AUUGGACGCUGGCGGCAUGCUUUACACAUGCAAGUCGAACGGCAGCGCGGGCUUCGGCCUGGCGGCGAGUGGCGAACGGGUGAGUAAUACAUCGGAACGUGCCCAGUAGUGGGGGAUAGCUCGGCGAAAGCCGGAUUAAUACCGCAUACGACCUGAGGGUGAAAGCGGGGGAUCUUCGGACCUCGCGCUAUUGGAGCGGCCGAUGGCAUAUUAGCUAGUUGGUGGGGUAAAGGCCUACCAAGGCGACGAUCUGUAGCUGGUCUGAGAGGACGACCAGCCACACUGGGACUGAGACACGGCCCAGACUCCUACGGGAGGCAGCAGUGGGGAAUUUUGGACAAUGGGCGAAAGCCUGAUCCAGCAAUGCCGCGUGUGUGAUGAAGGCCUUCGGGUUGUAAAGCACUUUUGGCGGGAACGAAAAGGACUGUGCCAAUACCACGGUUCGAUGACGGUACCCGCAGAAUAAGCACCGGCUAACUACGUG